GAUGAAGAACGUAGCGAAAUGCGAUACUUGGUGUGAAUUGCAGAAUCCCGUGAACCAUCGAGUCUUUGAACGCAAGUUGCGCCCGAAGCCUCGGCUAAGGGCACGUCUGCCUGGGCGUCACGCAUCGCGUCUCCCCCAAACCGCCAAGGCGGAGGGGAAGGAAGAUGGCUUCCCGUGCCUCACCCGGCGCGGUUGGCCUAAAUUUGGAGCCCGCGGCACUUAGCUCUCGUGGCGAUAGGUGGUGAACAAGGCCUUGGCCGUGCAAACAACCCGCUGCGAAUCUCUACGUCACGUGCGCUCGUCGGACCCUUUGAAGUUGCCUUCGGUGACUUAAAACCUUUGCGACCCCAGGUCAGGCGGGGCUACCCGCUGAAUUUAAGCAUAUCAAUAAGCGGAGGA
rnacentral:misc_RNA from 1 species